rnacentral:rRNA from 1 species
GAUGAACGCUGGCGGCGUGCCUAAUACAUGCAAGUCGAGCGAACAGACGAGGAGCUUGCUCCUCUGACGUUAGCGGCGGACGGGUGAGCAACACGUGGAUAACCUACCUAUAAGACUGGGAUAACUUCGGGAAACCGGAGCUAAUACCGGAUAAUAUAUUGAACCGCAUGGUUCAAUAGUGAAAGACGGUUUUGCUGUCACUUAUAGAUGGAUCCGCGCCGCAUUAGCUAGUUGGUAAGGUAACGGCUUACCAAGGCAACGAUGCGUAGCCGACCUGAGAGGGUGAUCGGCCACACUGGAACUGAGACACGGUCCAGACUCCUACGGGAGGCAGCAGUAGGGAAUCUUCCGCAAUGGGCGAAAGCCUGACGGAGCAACGCCGCGUGAGUGAUGAAGGUCUUCGGAUCGUAAAACGCUGUUAUUAGGGAAGAACAAAUGUGUAAGUAACGAUGCACGUCUGGACGGUACCUAAGCAGAAAGCCACGGCUAACUACGU